rnacentral:rRNA from 1 species
GAGUUUGAUCCUGGCUCAGGACGAACGCUGGCGGCGUGCUUAACACAUGCAAGUUGUGCGAGAAACCUACCUUCGGGUAGCGAGUAAAGCAGCGAACGGGUGAGUAACGCGUAAGUCAUCUACCUUUAAGUCUGGAAUAACCUCUCGAAAGAGUGGCUAAUGCCAGAUAAGCUCCUAGUGAGCAAAGGUGGUUUUACUACCGCUUAAAGAUGUGCUUGCGUCCCAUUAGCUAGUUGGUAGGAUAACAGCCUACCAAGGCAACGAUGGGUAGCCGACCUGAGAGGGUGAUCGGCCACACUGGGACUGAGACACGGCCCAGACUCCUACGGGAGGCUGCAGUGGGGAAUCUUCCGCAAUGAGCGAGAGCUUGACGGAGCAACGCCGCGUGAGUGAUGAAGGCCUUUGGGUCGUAAAGCUCUGUCUUGAGGGAAGAACAACUUAGUAGCGAAUAGCUGCUAGGCUUGACGGUACCUCACAAGGAAGCCCCGGCUAAUUACGUGCCAGCAGCCGCGGUAC